AUGUCUGGUUCCGACCUUCGAGGCCGAUGGAUGCCCUCCUCCGUCACGGAGGAGGAUGUGCUGAAGUUGAGAGAGGCCAGGUUCUUGACCGGCGAAAUCUCGCAUAGGCUGCCUGCUCAAGGGCAAGUCAUUCUCACUCCCAAGCCCGGUGAGAGUGUGGUGUUCAUGUCUCACUUCCUUCGGGGGCUAGGCUUCCCGACGGAUCCCUUCGUGAGGGGGCUCAUGUAUUAUUAUGGGCUGGAAUUUUACGACUUAGCCCCGGAGUCCAUCCUCCAUAUUUCCUCAUUCAUCGCUGUGUGUGAAGCCUUCCUCCGUAUCACUCCUCACUUCGGACUAUGGCUCAAGACCUUCAAAGUAGAGCCGAAGAUGAUCGAGGGACGGCACGCGGAGUGCGGAGGUGCUUUUAUAAGCAAGAAUGCUGGUACUCCAUGGCCCAAGGGCUCUUUUCAAGAGGAGUCCAGCUUAUGGCAACGAGAGUGGUUUUAUAUUACCGCUCCCAGGCCCCCUAAGUGGGUGGCGCCACCUGCCUUUCGCUCGGGUCCCCCGCCACGACUGGCGUCAUGGGUCAAUAUGGGGCUGGACUAG
rnacentral:rRNA from 1 species